rnacentral:rRNA from 1 species
GAUGAACGCUAGCUACAGGCUUAACACAUGCAAGUCGAGGGACCGGCGCCCGGGUGAGUAACGCGUAUCCAACCUUCCCAUAACUAAGGAAUACCCCGUAGAAAUGCGUCCUAAUCCCUUAUGGUUAUGGAUGGGGAUGCGUCUGAUUAGCUUGCUGGCGGGGUAACGGCCCACCAGGGCAUCGAUCAGUAGGGGUUCUGAAAGGAAGGCCCCCCAGAUUGGAACUGAGACACGGUCCAAACUCCGACGGGAGGCAGCAGUGAGUAAUAUUGGUCAAGGGGGGAGAGCGUGACCCAGCCAAGUAGCGGGCAGGACGACGGCCUAGGGGUUGUAAACUGCUUUGUAAGGUGAAUAUGUAGCCUUGGAAUAAGGACCGGCUAAUUCCGUGCCAGCAGCCGCGGUAAUAC